rnacentral:sRNA from 2 species
UCGAGCGGAACGCCGAAUCCUGCCGCCGCCCGGCACCCACCGAGAACUCAUGGCAGGAGCGGGGGAACCAGGUAAGUCGCCCUACCGAAAUGUCCACGAUGUCCAUGAAAGGACACGAAAACGGACACAACGGUACGGCUCGGGGUGAAGUCGCGUCCGGAGGACGGACGCGGCCGGGCAGCUCCCGCCCGAACCCGACAGCUCACCUCGCAGGCGCCGGAGAGGAACCUC